GAUGAACGCUGGCGGCGUGCCUAAUACAUGCAAGUCGAGCGAACAGACGAGGCGCUUGCUCCUCUGACGUUAGCGGCGGACGGGUGAGUAACACGUGUAUAACCUACCUAUAAUACUGGGAUAACUUCGGGAAACCGGAUCUAAUACCGGAUAAUAUAUUGAACCGCAUGGUUCAAUAGUGAAAGACGGUUUUGCUGUCACUUCUAGAUGGAUCCGCGCCGCAUUAGCUAGUUGGUAAGGUAACGGCUUACCAAGGCAACGAUGCGUAGCCGACCUGAGAGGGUGAUCGGCCACACUGGAACUGAGACACGGUCCAGACUCCUACGGGAGGCAGCAGUAGGGAAUCUUCCGCAAUGGGCGAAAGCCUGACGGAGCAACGCCGCGUGAGUGAUGAAGGUCUUCGGAUCGUAAAACUCUGUUAUUAGGGAAGAACAAAUGUGUAAGUAACUAUGCACGUCUUGACGGUACCUAAUCAGAAAGCCACGGCUAACUACGUG
rnacentral:rRNA from 1 species